ACGGGGUGGGAGACAGGCUUCAGCCAUAGGCCCCCCCUCAACCAGCAGAGUGUGCACCGGCCGGCUCUGAGCGUGCCAGCACUCCGUGUGGGGAGCACAGGUGCCACCGGAAGCGCCACGUGGGCCCCAGAGAGGGCGGGCCUUCCUCCGGCUCCGGCCUCGAGGCCAGCGCUUCGCGUGCAGACGCGCCCGCCGUCUGGGCGGAGAGCUGCACACCAGCUGCCCCAAGCCCUGCGGCCCGGCGGAGAGCUGCACGUCCUGGAGAAAGGGGCUCCCCGUCUGCCUUGCUCAGACGCCCCUGCCCCUGGCCCGUGGCCAGGCCUCUUCCAACAUGGGGCACCAGCUCGUUUCCUUUCAACAACCAUCCUAACGUUUUGUUCUAACUGGAGCCUUUGAUGAGCAGUCGGCGGUUUCUGCUGAGGGCAGAGAGUGAACACCAAGACUGCUUGUUCCAGUGGUCCCCGGACCACCGUCUCCCUGCGGGUCUCCAACGGGCACAUUCUCCAACCCCUGUGCGCUCUGGCUCCGUGGCACCUCCUGUCACCAGGACUCACCCCUGCCCUGCCUCCCCCUCCGCCCCCGCAGGAGAGGCGGGGCUGGGACUGAGAGUGCAGUGGGCUUCUCUGCUUCUCUCCUUUGUGGUUCUCGGCGCCAGUGCCUGAGAGCCGAAUCCGCACCAUUCCCCGUAGGGGACCUUAUGGGUAAGGACCUUCUCAUGGUCACCCUGGCAACACUUUCUCCGGUGAACCACAGAUUCCAUAAAUGCUAGCAUGUUUCAGACCCUCUGCCAUAGAUCAUUACAUUGACUCAUCCCAUUAACCACAUAAGAAACUAAGGCCCAGAGAGGUCCAGGGGCUUGCCCAAGGACACGCAGUGGCAGCUUCUGGUCCUCAGCCCUUGAGUCCAGCUUGCUUUCCCCUCAGCUUCACCAGGAAUGACAUUGUUGUCUGCAACCCAGCUACCGCCGUUUUCUUCCUGACACUGUGCCAGGCGGCUGUGAAGUCCUGCCGCAAGGCCUCUGAGCAAGGGAAGACUCACUGGGUACCCCUGAAGGGCACCUCCAGCCUUUGCAUGCUUGGGGCAGCGACUCUCACCCACUCUGUUGGUCCCCAAGGAUUUGGCCACGGAAUCACACGGUGUAUAUCCCCAGUCAGCCAGGACACGACAUCCUAGACUGUGUCCACACGCGGGCCCUGCCCCUCUGUGCUGCGCAUUUCAUCUCUCCCACUGGGCAGCUGCAGAACAAUGGGCGUUUGGGAAUGGAAAUAAGAAAUCGCUGGUAACUAGAGUUCGCUCUAUGUAUUUCCUGUUGGCUAUUUUUUUUUUUAAUCCUAAAAGAGACACACACAAAGAAAAGCAUCAAGAAUAACCAAUCCCAUGCACCUGUUGUGUAAUCCCAGUAUGUUUAGGUUACUGGUUAUCAUGUAAAAAAUAGCAUCUCUAUCAUUUUUUAAAUAGAAAAUCCUAUAUAGAAAUUCCUUUUAUUAUCCAGUGGUACAUAUCAAGGCCUCAAGGCCACUUUGUCACAUAUUACUCUGGCAUAGGAAUCCAAUUCUUUCCCCAUAAAGUCAAAAAGAAAGAGGUGAGUUGUAGCUGUGUUUUCAAAUUUAGGUCAGAGUCAGCUUAUAAUCACCCUCAACUGCUACCUUAGUGAUAACAUAGACAGUCGCUACAAAUGAUUCUGCUGUGGAUUUCAGAAAAUAAAGAAACACUUGCAGCAAAAAAAAAAAAAAA